ACCAGCUAAGGUCCCAAAAUAUAUGUUAAGUGGAAAAGGAUGUGGCGUUGCCCAGACAACUAGGAUGUUGGCUUAGAAGCAGCCAUCAUUUAAAGAGUGCGUAAUAGCUCACUAGUCGAGUGACACUGCGCCGAAAAUGUACCGGGGCUAAACAUAUUACCGAAGCUGUGGAUUGUCCUUUGGACAAUGGUAGGAGAGCGUUCUAAGG
rnacentral:rRNA from 1 species